rfam:Medicago truncatula strain A17 chromosome 4, whole genome shotgun sequence.
GUGACAUUGGUCAAUCACAAUGUCACAAUGCUUGUGAAAGAGAGAGAGACACAAGCAUUGUGACAUUGUGAUUGACCAAUGUCAC